UACGAAGGGGGCAAGCGUUAUCCGGAAUUACUGGGUGUAAAGGGUGAGUAGGCGGUUUCCUAAGUCAUAAGUGAAAGCCUGAGGCUCAACUUCAGCGAGCUUGAGAAACUGGGAAACUAGAGUGUGGGAGAGGUAAGUGGAAUUCCUAGUGUAGCGGUGAAAUGCGUAGAUAUUAGGAGGAACACCAGUGGCGAAGGCGACUUACUGGACCAAUACUGACGCUGAGUCACGAAAGCGUGGGGAGCAAACAGG
rnacentral:rRNA from 1 species